UACGAAGGGGGGCUAGCGUUGCUCGGAAUCACUGGGCGUAAAGCGCACGUAGGCGGACUCUUAAGUCGGUGGUGAAAUCCUGGAGCUCAACUCCAGAACUGCCUCCGAUACUGGGAGCCUUCGAGUCCGGGGAGAGGUGAGUGGAACUGCGAGUGUAGAGGUGAAAUUCGUAGAUAUUCGCAAGAACACCAGUGGCGAAGGCGGCUCGACUGGCCCGGUACGUGACGCUGAGGUGCGAAAGCGUGGGGAGCAAACAGG
rnacentral:rRNA from 1 species